AUUUACUUACUGUUGGCUAUUUCU
rnacentral:snRNA from 1 species